CGUGAGGCCAGAUAAAUGACCACAGUGUACUUUAUUAACUGAAUUUUGGUAGUUUGUGUUGCAUUAGAUUCAAAUAAAAAUUUACAAAAAUCUCAUAUGUACAAAAAACUCAUUUUGAUUAUUUUUUUUUAUUAUUCUUGAAUUAUUAUUUUUACAAUAAAAUGUACUUUUCCCCCAUUGAAUGCUUUCAUCACACAAUGCAACGUACUGAUAAGACCAAUAUUACUUUGUCUUAAACAUGUUUUUUCUUUUGUUAAAUACACCACAUACACCACAUUUAUCUUUUUUUCCUCUGUGUUUUACUGUCAUAUUUAUAGCCAUCAUGGUGGCAUCGCACCUCUAGAGACACGCUUCACAGUCAGAACUCAAAAAGAGAGGAAUGUUCUUUUUUAACAUGUACACAUUGCAUACAUUUAUUUACAGAUAAGCAUUUAAGUUGUUCAGUUCACUAUCUGUGGUAUUCCAUGUUUAACCAACUCUAAACAGACAUCUGUACAGAAUGAUUAUACAGGAUUGUUUUUAACCUGCUGGUCACUGUGCUUGUACUAAGACUGGACGAUCCCGCCUGGAGCUGCUGCUGCUGCACAAAUGAUGCUGACCAUUCAAACUUCAUAGUGUCGUUUUUGCCUGGUUCAAUAGCUAAAUUCUGUAUUGUGCUUGGCAGGUAUGUCCGGACCACAGCAGCAAAGCUUUGAUCUGUUAUAGAUGAUGAAUAGAGACAGUCGCUGGACCACAAUACUAACAGAAAAACACAAUCUAUUUAUCUCAUCUUAUAGUGAUAGUAGAAUAUGUGCUCGUCAUGUGGAACCACUCCAACAAGUCUUUAAGACUAAAUGCAGAUAUGAGAGUCUUGUGUCUGUGCUUUGGUUACAUUUAGCCAACUACAAACAUUUUACUUUAGUGGAUGGAGACUUUGUAGCCUUGUUUCCCAUUACACACCAAUAGCAACCUCCCCAAAUCUGGCUCCCGGUCAAAUAUCCUGUUAAGUCUCGUGUCAAAAACAUGUUGGAUCGUCAAACUAAAUUGAGUUUUUGCAAUGGCUCUAUGAUUGUUAUAUUACAUAUUUAACACGUGUCAUGUGUCCCUGAUGUUUGUAGACUUUGUCUAUGGAACAGACUGGUCAAAAAAAUCUUGUGCUAUUAAUAAAUAACCGUUACUGAGAACAUCUUACUCACACAUGGAACAUUGUUUUUCUUAGAGUCAAUAAAAGUGCAAGAAAACAAGGAGGAAGAAUAAACCAAGAAACAAACUGCAAUAUAACUGCAAGCUUUCUAUAUUUUCUAUUGCUUCUUCAUUCCUUUAUAGCAGUAUUGUGCAACUGAUGUUACAAAUAAACACAGUCUGAGGGGUUUAGAUGAUGCAGUACUGAGGAACAACUUCUUUGCUAGACUAGUAUAAGCACAGUAACUGCCACAUAUUCUGCUAUCGAGUGUAAAAACAUCUCUCUCUCUCUUUCACACACAGACUCACACGCAUGCUUUCCAGUUUAACUAGAAAACUAAGCUGUGCCCUAAGUACAGCCUCAUUGUCUCCUGUGUGAUGAUGUCGAAAUGAAGGAAAAAUCAAAAUAGAUUUUAUUUUAAAGCAAAUUAAACACAGAAAGCAGCUAAAACAAAGUCAUGAACACUGGAGCACAUCUGGGAUUUAUAAAAUUCCAAAUCACAGCGACAGUCGCUUCAAAGCGCUUUAUAUUGUAAGGUCGACCCUACAAUAACACAUACAGAGAAAAACCCAACAAUCAUAUGACCCCCAUGAGCAGCACUUUGGCAACAGUGGGAAGGAAAAACUCCCUUUUAACAGGAAGAAACCUCCAGCAGAACCAGGCGCAGGGAGGGGCGGGGCCAUCUGCUGUGAUUGGCUGGGGUGAAAGAAGGAAGAAAGAUUAAAGACAUGCUGUGGAAGAGAGACAGAGGUUAAUUGUUAUAACUAAUAAUUAAAUGUAGAGAGGUGUAUAAACACAUGAUGAGUGAAGAAGAAACACCCAGUGCAUCAUGGGAAUCCCCCGGCAGCCUACGUCUAUUGCAGCAUAACUAAGGGAGGAUUCAGGGUCACCUGGUCCAGCCCUAACUAUAUGCUUUAGCAAAAAGGAAAGUUUGAAGCCUAAUCUUGAAAGUAGAGAUAGUGUCUGUCUCCUGAAUCCAAACUGGAAGCUGGUUCCACAGAAGAGGGGCCUGAAAACUGAAGGCUCUGCCUCCCAUUCUACUUUUAAAUACUCUAGGAACAACAAGUAGGCCUGCAGAGCGAGAGCAAAGUGCUCUAAUAGGGUGAUAUGGUACUACAAGGUCAUUAAGAUAAGAUGGGGCCUGAUUAUUUAAGACCUUGUAUGUGAGGAGCAGGAUUUUGAAUUCUGGACUGAACAGGAAGCCAAUGAAGGGAAGCCAAAACAGGAGAAAUCUGCUCUCUUUCUAGUUCUAAUCAAACAAGGUCUAAAGUAAUAUUUUUUUAGUUGAACCCUAAUCCUCAGUUCUGUUCAGGUCAAAUGUUUAUAUAGUCAAAUCACAACAACAGUCACCUUUAUAUCAUAAAACCAACAAUCAGCCCAUUUGCAGUGCCAUAUAACUGUCAUGCUACCAAUGUUAUACUUUGAAGGGUUUUCAUAGGGUUUAAUAUUUAUUGUUAUUUGGAAUUCAUUUUAAUUUUGGUAAACAUAUUUUCAUUUAAACAGAAGUGUCAACUGUGCUACAGAAGAAAAUGAACUGACAGACAAUCUGUAAGGGUUUGUGCAUGAGACAAACUGAGGUAGCUUCAUGUUCCACACAUAUUUAUAUCAAUGUACUGUGUGUGUUGAUGGUGAUGAGCAAACUAAGGCUACAGCUGAUUUUUGAACUGAAAACUAAAAUAAAUUGCUUGGAUGUCUAAGAAAUACAAGGCUGCAUUUGCAACCCUGUUUCCAAAACAACAGAGAAACCUCGGUGCUUAACUCAGUACAGAAGAAAGCAUCAAUGAAAAGUCUGCAAAUAGGGAACCAUGUCUACAACAAUGAAUGUAGCUGAAAGCUGUUCUGGAGCAACAUUUACUAAAAUUACGUCACUAUCCAAAUACCUGUGGACGAACUGUCUUCAGAGAUGUGCAAGUUAUGCAUGGCAUGCGUAUUAACGCAUACCACCACAUCUGCUGGCUUUUGAACUGCGCACCAGGAUGGUGCAGUGGUUGAGAACCAUUUCUACAUUUCCCACCUCACAUUUUGUUAGUUUGACACAUGCUGUGCUAUUUUUAAUUAAAUAUACAUGUUUAGACUUUGUCUUUAUCCGCUGACAGCCCAGUUACUGAUUUAUUUUAUUCACUUUUUUCAUUAAAAAAGACGAGCAGUAAUUUCACUUUUUUUUAUUUGAAGGGAUCAUGAAAGUUCUUUCCACAGCCUGCUCUUGGUUUCCUGAACAGGCAGUAUGUACAGCCUUGUACAGUAUAUGCCUUUCUACAACAGUAUUGUGCCAUCAUGAAACUUGUGUCUUUAUCCCAAGAAAAAAAACAAAAUGACAAAAGAAAAACGCUUUACAUCUACAUCACAUCACCGAGUUUGUUCCCAGAUAAUAGGUCUGGAAAAGUCCCUUCUUUAAAUGGAAAAUCAUCAGGUUUAGUAUAUUUUAAAGCGUUUAGUCUUUUUAGUUGUCACUAAUGUUGAUUCAGCUACUGUAGUAUUACUUCAGGACAUCUGUCUUAUGUUAUGCAGCUUCUGCUGAACCCACAAAAGCUUUAUGUAUACAACAUUUUCACUAAAGCACAAGUGUAUUCCUCCACCAAACACAAGUCCAUGGAAAUCUCAAAGUAACCGAAAAAUAAUGAAGAGACAUUAAUGCCACGAUAUUGAUUGGUCUCCUGAAAAUAUCUGAUGGAAACUCUGCGCACACACACACACACACACACACACACACAUAAAAGUAUCUGUUGCAUGUUUUUCGGUCCAACUGCUCAGUCUGAAUAGAUUUUUGCAGCCAGAUUUUUAUGCCAGAUUUGUGGAUUUAUAUCUACUUUGUGGAUUUUUGUUCAUUACAGUACAGUUUAAAAUUGUGCAGUGUAUGACUGUUUAAAUGAAGAUAUCCGGUCGUUAAGUGAUGACGUGACGAAUCCUACUUCCGGGCCUAAAGUAGUCUGCGUUUAAUAUGGCUUUUGUGUUGUUAACAUGUUUAAUGUUUUGUAUUUUCUUCUAUUUAAUCUCAAAAAGCUCCUAAAACAGUCAGUGAUCCCUGUUGACCUCCCUCGGCUUUUAUUACCACUAAUCAUUUAUUUAGGCUCAGUUUUUAAAACCUUAGGAUGUAACUACAGCCCAGCCCAUGCAGCAGUAUAUGAAUGACUAACCUCGUAUUGUGGAUGGAUUAUCUCAGUUGUUCUCCUGGCUGAAGUUUGGUCCUUUUACAGCAUCCUGCCAUGCGAUUACAUUUGUUCCUGACCACCGAGAACACUCACGUUAACUUUUAUCGAGUGGAAAAAAAGUUAGCUUGUUUAUAUUAUGCUAACAUAGCUGUGUCGCUAGCGGUCACGUAGCACAUCAUUAUAUACCAGCUAGCCCAACUUCAGUAACCCUACAAACGUCACUGCUGUUUAGUUUUCUGUCUUCAUUUAUGUUGGAAGUGAUAGCAGAGCUGUACGUUUUAAUUUGUUUCCAAAACCCCGCAGUCAGGACAUGCUAUAUUGUAUUUAGAUAGAAGCUAGCGAGCUAACUCCCUGCUAACUUCUAACUCCGUUAAAUGUCAUAAAUUCCGUUUUCAUGGAUGCCUGGAUGUUAAACUCAAUUGUUACACCUGGUAGAGCAGAACGCUGAUCAUUUUAUUAAAGAUGAAAGACUUUAGACAGUUUUUCAACUCUCAGUAAUGCCAUAGUGAUCGUUUGAUAUAUGGACCUGCAGCAGAGUUUAGGUCCAGACACGGCUAGUGACGUCAGACUGAACAACCGGAUACUUAGGAAGUCUCCAAUGCAUUACUUUAUAAUUAUAAUAAUAACAA
ensembl:lncRNA